UGGGGGAUAUUGCACAAUGGGCGCAAGCCUGAUGCAGCGACGCCGCGUGAGGGAUGACGGCUUUCGGGUUGUAAACCUCUUUCGCUACUGAACAAGGCCCUGUUGUUGUGGGGUUGAGGGUAGGUGGAUAAGAAGCGCCGGCUAACUACGUNCCAGCAGCCGCGGUAAUACGUAGGGCGCGAGCGUUGUCCGGAAUUAUUGGGCGUAAAGAGCUCGUAGGCGGCUUGUCGCGUCUGCUGUGAAAACGCGGGGCUUAACUCCGCGCGUGCAGUGGGUACGGGCAGGCUAGAGUGUGGUAGGGGUGAUUGGAAUUCCUGGUGUAGCGGUGGAAUGCGCAGAUAUCAGGAGGAACACCGAUGGCGAAGGCAGGUCACUGGGCCAUUACUGACGCUGAGGAGCGAAAAGCAUGGGGAGCGAACAGGAUUAGAUAGCCCUGGUAGUCCAUGCCGUAAACGUUGGGCACUA
rnacentral:rRNA from 1 species